CGGUUAUAUAACAUUUUAAAAUUUGUUGCGGAAAAAAGAUUAAAUAUUUCGGAAGCAGGACUGUCCUGAAUACUUUGCAUAAGUAGCGAAUAAAGUGUUAAAUCUAAAAUAAUAAGUUAACACAGCAGUCUUCAGUUAUCAUCACAAUGGUAAGUACAUGUCAUAAAUAGUAUUACAACGUCAUUGUGAAUUUUAUUGAUGCUUCAUUUCAAUUUAUUAUUUCACUCAUCAUAUAUAAGUAAGAAGAUGUGUUGUGAGACACUUCUCAACCAAGGACAUGUAUCAUUUAUUCUGUUUAAAUGAGAAUUAUAUCAUAAAAUUAAAUUAAACAGUUGUAUGACUAUUACAAAAUAUUGUUCAGAUUGAAUCACGUGGACAUAUACAUAUAUACACCGAAAGGUCAACAUUCUAUCGGCUAAGCUUUAGAAUAAAUGGACAUAUAUAGAUAUAGGAAGAUGUGGUGUGAGUGCCAAUGAGACAACUCUCCAUACAAAUAACAAUUUAAAAAGUAAACCAUUAUAGGUUAAAGUACGGCCUUCAACACGGAGCCUUGGCUCAACACGAAAACAACAAGCUUUAAAAGGGCCCCAGUUUGAGUGUAAUAAAACCAUUUAAAUUGGGAAAAAACACCAAAACGGUCUAAUCUAUAUAAAAAAACGAGAACGAGAAACACACGUAUAUAUAUAAACAAACGACAACUACUGUACAUCAGAUUCCUGACUUAGGACAGGUGCAAACAUUUGCAUGGAUCAUAGCGGGAUUUUUUUUUUAAAACCCUUUUUCUUUUUCUGAAACAAUAGCAUAACAUCACAACAAAGAAAAACAUACGAUAUGUUUUUAUUUUAUAAUUUUCUAACGAUAGAAACGGCGUCACCAGUAAAGUGUGUGUUUUCUGUGUAGCAAUAUAGUGAGUUAUACUUCAAAGUUAGACAACUAGAUGUAAAAGUUUUUUUCUUAGGUAAUUAACCUAAUCACAGAAACCCUCAAUCAGUCUUAUAAGGGUGGAUUGGAGAAAAGAAGAUUGGUAUUAUAGACUUUUUAGUAGUAGUAUAUACCCUGAAAAAAGUUCUGUUUAGUUGUGCAGGCUGUCAAAAUACGCAGCUAUGUCUAGUCGAAAUGGCACCUUCAAAUUCACAUUAUUUUUGUAGGAGAGAAUAUGUUAAGGGGUGCUAUAUAAAGGUGGAAGUCUCAAGACUAGAAUGUUUUCCGAUAUACAUGUACAUGUACCUCUUAUCUGUGUAAUUGCAGUUCAAAUUAAUUUUACAGAACAUAUGGUUAUUUGAACAUGAUUUAUUCAAUUGUUUUCAAAUGGAAUAUACAUGACAGAUUUCCAUAUAGACGUUAGACAAACAACAAAUCAUCCAGUUCAUCUAACUAUUUGAUAUUUGUUUUCUUUUUUAAUCUCAAAUGCUUUUGACUGUUCAAAAGCCAUAACAAAAAUUUUUAGUUCACAGGAAAAUUAACAAGAUUGAAACAGACAACAUAAUCUUUACUACUUUUAUUUCCAAUAAAAUGUACUAUAAAUUAUGUCCAAAUGAUAUAUUUCAUCAGCACUUACAUCGAACUGUUUAGUAUGUGUAAACAAUCUUAAUUAUGACUUUAUGAAACUUGUUUAUUCGUCUAUAAGAUGUUUUGUUGUCAUGGUGCUAGCCAAUAAAAUAAAACUAAGUAAAUAGAACAUUGUUAGAAUUUUGAACAAGAUUUAGUUUUAAAAUGUGUCUUGUCCUUUUUUCAGAAUGUUCGUAGAGGGUCCAUUUCUAUAGCUUUACUUUGCAUUUUAGUACUGACUACAUCCGCGGGUAUGUUCUUUUAAUUGUAAUUAUUUAUUUUAAUGAGAUUGCAAAAUACAAUCAUAUUACGUUUGGGUUUGGUGUCCAUUCUGGCUACUAAAAAGCACAGUUCACUUAUUAUUGCUUGUGAUGAAAGCACGAUUUCAAUUAUACAUUUUGUUUUCAAUUUCCAGUUGAGCAUGCUAUUACUCUCACGCAAGGUUGGCUUAUCAGACUGUUUUGACUGUUAUAUUUGAACUCAUUUUGAUAAAAGAUUUAUGAGUUUUAUGGUUAUUUUGGUUAGAUCAUACCUUGCGAAGUAAAAUAACAAAAAAUCCGAAAUCCGAAAUAUAAGGAAAAUUUAAAACGGAAAGGUUUUUCUCAAAUGUCAAAAUCAAAAGCUCUAACACAUCUAACGAAUGGAAAACAAGUGACAACUCUUAUAUUCCUGACUUGUUACAGGUAUUUUAUUUUGUCGAAAAAGGUGGAUACAACCUGGUUAUUUUAUCUAGCCAACCUCUCGCUUGUAUGACAGCUGCAUAGAAUUUCAUAAUAUUGAAAACAUUUUGUGAACAAAACAAACAGACAUAGAAGGUUGAAAUGUCAACAUUAUGCUAUUAUUUUAAAAUCACUUUAAAACUAACACCUAUGUCACCAAAGAUCAACUAAAUGGUAUAUAGACACUCUAAAAACCAACACAUACGAAAAAAAGACUACAAGAAAAUGAAUAUAGCACAAGAAAACAAUGGUGGGAUGUAUAAAUACCGAGUCAUGCUAAAAAGAUAUCACCACAAUGAAGUAUUAUAUAGUAAAGGUUCAAAUGGUAUUCAAGAAACUCGAAUUAUAAAACGUAUGUGCAUAGAAAUCAAAUCACCUCUGUCUUGGCUAACAUUGUAGGAAUUUCACAAUAAAUUUUACAAAAUUACUGUAGUUUAUUUCAAUCAUAUUUCAUUGUAUUCCUAAUUCAUUUGAAGGACGUGCUGAUAGGACCAAAAGAUCAUUCUUGAAUAUGUACAGUCAGAUCAGUCAUUUGUUUGAAAUGGGUUAUACGUUUGGGAAUUAUCUUCGAGACUAUGGAUGUUGGUGUGGAGUUGGCGGAAGCGGUACACAUCAAGACAACAUUGAUAGGUGAGAUGCUCUUAUUUUACAGAUGUCAGAACAUCUUAAAGCGAGUACGAGCAAUCCAAAGAAGUAUAAUUAAAUGAGCAACCUGUGCAAAGUAGGAGAAAAUUAACCCUUUUUCCGAUUAUUUUGUUGUCCAUAGAAAACAUGAAACAUAUGCUUUUCUCCCAUUUGAACCAAUUAUUCGCUUUAUUUUACUUCUUUUAACUGCACUUUCGUACCGAGUACCAGAAUGUCAUACCACAUAGAAGGUAACCUGUCGAGCAGUUAUAGUAAUAGAAAUAGAAAUAGAAAUAUACUCUGGAGACAAAAGUCGGUAAUAUAAAAAAAUAUAUUCUAUGACGCUAAUGUAUUAUGAAUAUAUUUAGCGUACUGAUUAUGAUUUAAAAUCUACAUAUCAGUUUUAAAUUAUCAGAUCAUGUUUGUUCAUGUUGCACGCCACUACGAUAUAAUAUUUUGAGGUUCAACUUUACCCGAACACUUUUGUCAGUUUCGGUACUUGAUAUAAGACUCGUGAGGGUAAAAGGGGAAAAAAUACACAUAUGUGAAUCCGGAAAUAAAUUUUAAAUGCAUCACUCCAUGAUGACCUCAAUUAUGAUAAAGAGGAAAACUGUGAAUUUACAGAUUUUAGACUCAGAAAGCUAUGAAAAUAACAAGAAAUGGUCUUUAUGCUUAUCCCUAUCUUACAUCGAUUAUACCAAGCUCUGAUUCCUUUGACGGAUUUGGCUAACUUUUUGCAUUUUGGAUUAGAUCUUUUAUAUAAGAUGUGCAUCUGGUGCAAGAAAAUUGAUACCGUUAAUUUUAUUAGACAACUUUCAACCAAAAUUUGUUGGGUUAAAUUAGUUAUGAAAUGUCUCUGAGAUUGCGGUUUUAUGUGUUGUUCUUUAAUUACGUCGCCUAUUCCUAUCUUUAUGUAUUCUUUACUUUUUAGCACCCUGAUAUUGUCUUACCAUUUUUUGGUUCCUUUUGUCUGUAUUUGUUCAUUGUCCAUAUCUUUGUUAAUUAUCAUCUAUCCUGUAUAUCCCAAUUAAAAAGACAAAACAUUAAACAAGCAAGUGGACUCAUUCAACCCCGUAGAUGUUCUUUUUAUCAAAAUCGUUUACAAAAGUUACCUUCAAAACAUAAAACAAAAUAAAAUAAAUGAAUACUUUGUAGAUGUUGUAUGGUACAUGAUAGGUGUUAUGAUCAGAAUAGUAGGGAUGGAUGUAGUGGUAUCCACCUAGAUGAUUACAGCUACGAGUGGACCAGUGUGUCGAUCAGAUGUACAAGUAAGUACAUGUAGUCUCAAAAACAACCUUUAUUUUAUAUUUUUAAUAUACAACGUUUACAUAACAUAUUGAAAACACAGCGUUGUCAAUAAGACUUUUUACUGAAAUACUACGUAAACACAAAAAAAUGUAUGUAUCUGUAUCAUGAAUUAAAUUUAAAGGAUGACACUAGCUGUACAAUGACUAUAAAUUGUACAUAGAAAUUAAUGGUUGUUGGUAAAAUUGCUAGCAUGUAGAUUAGUCCUUCUGUGUUGGGUUAAGUUAUAUAGUUAAGUAUGCUGUAAAAUAAAAUUUAUCCUAUAUCUAAAGCACUCUAAACGUUGUAGAAUUAAUUAUCAUGAAUUGCAAACAUAAUUUUUUGGAAGUUCAGAAUUACUAGUUUUGUGAAGUUUUGAAAGAAUUCCUGGUCACGAUAGAAAUGUUUAAUAGAUAUAGGCAGAUGUGGUAUGAGUGCAACUUAUUUUCACCGAUCAUGUCAUCGCAACUCCUUCUACGUUGUAUAUCGUAUUUUGUUGAAAAGUUCAACGGUGUUUAAAAGUAACAGAACUAAAUCAUUAUGCAGAUGUAUAGUAUGCUAAGAGUGUUUGUAGAGUAAUGGCCCUUUAAACAAUUGACUCUGUUGCGUAUCUUGUUCUGAUAACACCACAAUACUGAUCUUUGUAUUGUAGUCUCUAGCAUAUUUAAUCAUCAAUUCGGGAUCCAGGGAUAAGGAAAAAUCUUAGCGUACAGUUUAGUUUGUAUUCUUACAUGUUUGCACACAUACACAUUUCACUUGUUACAUAAUUGUCAACCAGGAUUAAAUGUUUUUUCCUUUUCAUUUUCAGAUAGUCCCGGAUCUUGCGAUUAUAAAAACUGCAACUGCGACAAGGAAUUCUUGGAAUGUUUGAGAAGUGCAGGUUUCCCACGGACUUUUUUACCUGGACUUCGAAACUUCAACAAAUGUUGAUCAAUAUGAACAAUCUGAUUUAACUCACAGAAUGAUU
rnacentral:lncRNA from 1 species